GACGAACGCUGGCGGCGUGCUUAACACAUGCAAGUCGAACGCUGAAGCUCAGCUUUUGUUGGGUGGAUGAGUGGCGAACGGGUGAGUAACACGUGAGUAACCUGCCCUCUUCUUUGGGAUAACGCCCGGAAACGGGUGCUAAUACUGGAUAUUCACUGAUCUUCGCAUGGGGGUUGGUGGAAAGGUUUGUUCUGGUGGGGGAUGGGCUCGCGGCCUAUCAGCUUGUUGGUGGGGUGAUGGCCUACCAAGGCUUUGACGGGUAGCCGGCCUGAGAGGGUGACCGGUCACAUUGGGACUGAGAUACGGCCCAGACUCCUACGGGAGGCAGCAGUGGGGAAUAUUGCACAAUGGGCGAAAGCCUGAUGCAGCGACGCCGCGUGAGGGAUGGAGGCCUUCGGGUUGUAGACCUCUUUCGCUCAUGGUCAAGCCGCGACGUGGGUUGUGGUGAGGGUAGUGGGUAAAGAAGCGCCGGCUAACUACGUG
rnacentral:rRNA from 1 species